rnacentral:rRNA from 1 species
CUACGGGACGCAGCAGUGGGGAAUAUUGCACGAUGGAGGAAACUCUGAUGCAGCAACGCCGCGUGGAGGAUGACACUUUUCGGAGCGUAAACUCCUUUUAUAUAGGAAGAAGAUGACGGUACUAUAUGAAUAAGCGCCGGCUAACUCCGUGCCAGCAGCCGCGGUAAUACGGAGGGCGCAAGCGUUACUCGGAAUCACUGGGCGUAAAGAGCGUGUAGGCGGAUUAAAAAGUCAGAAGUGAAAUCCUAUAGCUUAACUAUAGAACUGCUUCUGAAACUCUUAAUCUAGAAUAUGGGAGAGGUAGAUGGAAUUUCUGGUGUAGGGGUAAAAUCCGUAGAGAUCAGAAGGAAUACCGAUUGCGAAGGCGAUCUACUAGAACAUUAUUGACGCUGAGACGCGAAAGCGUGGGGAGCAAACAGGAUUAGAUACCCUGGUAGUC